AGCGGGAUAGAGGAGCCUGGAGUCCUCGCAGGGCCCAUAACCCUGAGAUCGUGCGGUUCAAAUCCCACUCCCGCUA
rnacentral:tRNA from 1 species